GAAAUGCGAUAAGUAAUGUGAAUUGCAGAAUUCAGUGAAUCAUCGAAUCUUUGAACGCACAUUGCGCCCGCCAGUACUCUGGCGGGCAUGCCUGUUCGAGCGUCAUUUCAACCAUCAAGCCCCCGGCUUGUGUUGGGGACCUGCGGCUGCCCGCAGGCCCUGAAAAACAGUGGCGGGCUCGCUGUCACACCGAGCGUAGUAGCAUACAUUCUCGCUCAGGGCGUGCUGCGGGUUCCGGCCGUUAAACGACCUUCAUAACCCAAGGUUGACCUCGGAUCAGGUAGGAACACCCGCUGAACUUAAGC
rnacentral:misc_RNA from 1 species